GGUCUGCUGGACCCAGCUGCCCCUCCAGAGCAGGUGGAUCUAGUGGGUGUGGCUGACACUGUCCAUGUCCUGCUCACGAACAGCAGGAUGAUGCCGGUGAAAGAUGCUGACGGGUGGACGGCAGAGAAGUUCAGUGGAGAAGAAUCCUGGCACGAAGCAUGUUACAUGUUCCAACAGACAUGGCAGAGGUUUUUCCGGCUGCUGCUCAACGCUGGUGAGCGCUCAUCACAAUCCGUCCUGUCAGAACUCACUGAGCUGUUGUCAUCAUUUCUACACUA